rnacentral:rRNA from 1 species
CCUACGGGUGGCAGCAGUGAGGAAUAUUGGUCAAUGGACGGAAGUCUGAACCAGCCAAGCCGCGUGCAGGAAGACGGCACUAUGAGUUGUAAACCGCUUUUGUACAAGGGGAAACCUGAAUACGUGUAGUCAGCUGAAAGUACUGUACGAAUAAGGAUCGGCUAACUCCGUGCCAGCAGCCGCGGUAAUACGGAGGAUACAAGCGUUAUCCGGAUUUAUUGGGUUGACAGGGUGAGUCGGCGGCUUGAUAAGUUAGAGGUGAAAUGUCCGCGCGUCCCUCGGGAACUGCCUUUAAUACGGUUGUUCUAGUGUUUAGAUGCGGUAGGCGGAAUGUGUGGUGUAGCGGUUCAAUUCUUC